GUGCUUGCUUAGGCAGCAUGCAUACUAAAAUUGGAAUGAUGCGGUAGAUUAGCAUGGCCUCUGAACAAGGCUGAAAUACAAGUUUUUGAAACAUUUUUUUUCUUA